CCUAUAUACCUCUAAACUCCUGAAUAUAUACCUCUAGCAGUCGCAUACCCUGUUCUAGGGUUAAUAAUAGUCUUGCAAGGUUCAUACCUGGCCAGUGUUCUUGAGAAAAGCUGCUGGAUCGUUGUGUGGUCGAGUAUUCUAUAACGGAUGGGAGUGGGACAAUGGAGUUGGAUAUCCACAUGCAGGCUUUAUUUACAGAAAGAGCGUAGUCGUACAGGCAUUGGGUCAAACACCAGCAAACAGUAACAGAACAAGGAACAGUAGGCAGAAAAAGGAACAGAUGGAAAUACACAGAAACUGAUGGGAAACAGGUGUGAGUAUGUGAUUAGUCCAUAUAACCAAGGUGAUUAACACAGACCCAGGGCACACAUAACAUCACUGUACAUUCCACAGUAUUCUUUAUACAGAUGAAUAUUAUGCAAUUUUACAUGUUAUCUCAUGAAACCACAGUGUUUGGUAGUGUAAGGAUUUUCUUGUUAAAAUUGCAGAAAGAUUUAAAGAUAACAAAACUUUUAGUUUCAGUCUUUCCUCAGGAGCAUUUGUCAGUCAGUGGGUGGGGACAUGGCUUCUGGGCACUUAAAUAGAUCUCUGUAUAGUCAAGUAGAAUCCAGAUGACUGCUUUGAAGAGCUGCAUGAACACUUGACAAAGACUUUGCUGUGACAUCUGUUUACAUCUCCAACAAUGAGCUGUUACCACUGUCACCACUGUCACUGUGGGAGGAUAUUAAGGUGCGGGGCUUCUAGGCACAGUGGACAUCAGAAUGAUUAUUAUGAUGAUGAGAUGGCUGUUUCUCAGAGCUUUACAACUUCUCUUCCAAGAAAUGGCGAGGUGAAUCGCCAUAUCAAUUUAGGGGGUGGUCUUUAUGGCUUUCAGAAAAUAAUCCUGAGGAAUGGAAAAGUGGUUUAUUCUAAAGAAAGGAUAUAUGCUGCACAUUAAGAUCCGAUGCACAUCAUCCAAUAAUACCCAUCAUCAACUAAUUUUAUCCAUUAUUGCUUUGUCUCCAAGCUAAUUUCAGGUUGAUUCUUUUACUCUACUUUUCUAUUUACUUUACCUUAAUUUGUUAUAACUAGUACAAUUACUAUAAUUCUGUUUUAUGUAAAUCAUCUGUCAAUAAACAUCUGAAAUAAAAAAAUAAAUAAAAUUAAAGUCAUUUUUGGGUUGCUGUUUAUCCUCAUUUUUACCCCACGUUUGUUUUCCACUUUUCUUUUUUGGCUUUACAGGAAGCCACAUUAUAAUGCAGUAUGGCCUUCAUUAGUAUUGCUGAGGAUUCAUUUGAC